rnacentral:misc_RNA from 1 species
CUUGGCCUUCAACUCCAUGCUGGUACUGAUUUCAAGCAUCUUUUCGUAUGCUGGUGAGAGUUUAAGUUGUUGUUGGAGCCAAUUAUAAACAAAUGUAUCCUCUUCUAAUCUCUUUUGUUCAAGCUCCAGCUUGUAAAUCUGUUGACGAAGGCGAUCAAUUGAAGACCUGUCUGCCUUGAAUAGAAGAGCCUUUGUUAUUGUGAACUUGCGUUUGAUGACCUCAGACUUGUGUUGUAACUCAUUUCUAGCUUCAAUCAAACAAUUAGCAAAUUGUCCAACCUGAGCCAGCGUCAAUCCCUUGUUUUCAUUACACUUGACAAGCUGAUCAUACUGCUGCUUGAUCUUCCUCUGCGUGGCACUACUCGUUGAAGUGAACGGGUACAAACAAACUAACUCCGGCUUAACCUGACCCGACCCCGAAUCCGAACCUUCGCUUUGUCUCUCUAAGCCCUUGUCUUCACCCCCAUUUUCUUCGCUCUUGGAAUCCACUCUCUUCUUCUUCGCCCUCUUCUUCUUCUUUUUCGCUAUCUGUGAAUCCCCGGCUGACCCGUCACGGUCAUUGCCAUGACCCGACCUCGUUUCAUCAGGGUAAUUGCCAAAUAGAGAGGCCCAUUUGGGAGAAUCGGAUGGCAAGAUGUCGAGAAGAAGAGAAUGAGUUAAAUGGGUUGCGUCAUUUUCACGGUUUUUCCGAGUUCCAUCGAUUAUUUUGGACAAAUAACGGUUUAUAACAGAAGUGUCACCGUUCUGGGUCUGUUCUUCUCGCUUUGGCUUGUUGAAACUCUUAUAGAGAACAUAUAGAAAGAUAAAGAAGGACACAGAAAACGCAAAGAAGGAGAGGAAGAAGAAGAACAAAUGAGAGAACAUUUGUUUGUGCUUGUCCAGAUGAUACAGUGAAAAGAAUUGAAAUUUAGAGAUAAGAUUAGAUAGAUGUGAACAAGUUACAGC